rnacentral:rRNA from 1 species
UACGAAGGGGGCUAGGCGUUGUUCGGAAUCACUGGGCGUAAAGGGCGCGUAGGCGGCCGAUCAAGUCGGGGUGAAAGCCUGUGGCUCAACCACAGAAUUGCCUUCGAUACUGUUUGGCUUGAGACCGGAAGAGGUUAGUGGAACUGCGAGUGUAGAGGUGAAAUUCGUAGAUAUUCGCAAGAACACCAGUGGCGAAGGCGCUGACUGGUCCGGUUCUGACGCUGAGGCGCGAAACGGUGGGGAGCAAACAGG